CAUAUACUCCCUCCGUCCAGAAAUAUUUGUCGAAGAAAUGAAUAAAAAUGGAUGUAUCUAGAGCUAACAUAUGUCUACAUACAUCUAUUUCUCCGACAAGUAUUUCCGGGCGGAGGGAGUACUAC
rfam:Triticum aestivum genome assembly, contig: Triticum_aestivum_CS42_TGACv1_scaffold_578023_7BL